UACAGAGGGUGCGAGCGUUAAUCGGAAUUACUGGGCGUAAAGGGUGCGUAGGCGGUUAGUUAAGUUAGAUGUGAAAUCCCUGGGCUUAACCUAGGAACUGCAUAUAAUACUGGCUAGCUAGAGUGCAGUAGAGGGUAGUGGAAUUUCCGGUGUAGCGGUGAAAUGCGUAGAUAUCGGAAGGAACACCAGUGGCGAAGGCGGCUACCUGGACUGACACUGACGCUGAGGCGCGAGAGCGUGGGGAGCAAACAGG
rnacentral:rRNA from 1 species